GAUGAACGCUGGCGGCGUGCUUAACACAUGCAAGUCGAACGGUGAAAGAGGAGCUUGCUCCUCUGGAUCAGUGGCGAACGGGUGAGUAACACGUGAGCAAUCUGCCCUGGACUCUGGGAUAAGCGUUGGAAACGACGUCUAAUACCGGAUACGCGACGCGAAGGCAUCUUCAGCGUCGGGAAAGAACUUCGGUCCAGGAUGAGCUCGCGGCCUAUCAGCUAGUUGGUGAGGUAACGGCCCACCAAGGCGACGACGGGUAGCCGGCCUGAG
rnacentral:rRNA from 1 species